rnacentral:rRNA from 1 species
AUGACAACUGCGAGUGGAAUUCACCGUUACCCGAAAGGGAUUGACAACCUCUUUAACACAUCGGGUUGCGAGGAUUUGUUAUCUGUGUGCAGGGGUUAUUUACGUUGUGUUGCUUGGUUCACCUACUGGUUCGAUAAUCUUGGUUUCAUAUCUGAGGGAAAUACCUACCGCCGCUGUGCUGCAUCAUCCCUUCCUCUUUGGGGAAAUACCGACGUAGCUUCAAGCGACAUCAAAAGGAAUUUCUGGCGCCGUUACCGGGGAGGAUCUUCAACAUAUACCAGGUUCGUAAGCACAAAUCUCAUCUCCUUGCAAUCUACAUUAUCUGCAAUUUCCCUCUCAUUUUCCUCUCCCCCACUUCACAAAAAAAUUCCGUUCUAUUUGCCUCUCUUUUUAUGUUCGCCAUUUUCUCGUCAGAUCUAUCUUUUGCUUGCAAUCAUUAGUGAUUUUGGUAUGGCACCAACAGAUGAUGGCCUAACUCCUAAGAUUGGACGUACGGGCAAUCUGGAUGCUAAAACUAUUAUCUUGGGGCAAGGUAACAUUAUGGGAAAAGAACGUAUCCAAGAAUUUUUCAAUUGUGUUGGGAAUCUAAGUCUUGAUGAUGCUCCUAUACUUAAAACUACUAGAUCUUAUGUGGAUGCUAUUUCAGCACUAGUUCUAAAACUUGAAAGUAAAUUUAUUCAUACCCAUCCUACUUUGCAAAUAUCAUUUUUGAGCUUCCCGACAUAA